rnacentral:rRNA from 1 species
CGCUGGCGGCGUGCCUAACACAUGCAAGUCGAGCGAAGUAUAUUUAAGUGAAGUUUUCGGAUGGAACUUAAAUAUAUCUUAGCGGCGGACGGGUGAGUAACGCGUGAGCAACCUGCCUUUCACAAAGGGAUAGCCUCGGGAAACUGGGAUUAAUACCAUAUGAAACUUAACUUUCGCAUGAAAGAUAAGUUAAGGCGAAUAAGCGGUGAAAGAUGGGCUCGCGUCCUAUUAGCUAGUUGGUGAGGUAACGGCUCACCAAGGCGACGAUAGGUAGCCGGCCUGAGAGGGUGAACGGCCACACUGGAACUGAGACACGGUCCAGACUCCUACGGGAGGCAGCAGUGGGGGAUAUUGCACAAUGGAGGAAACUCUGAUGCAGCGACGCCGCGUGAGUGAAGAAGGCCUUCGGGUCGUAAAGCUCUGUCCUAGGGGAAGAUAAUGACGGUACCCUAGGAGGAAGCCCCGGCUAACUACGUGCCAGCAGCCGCGGUAAUACGUAGGGGGCGAGCGUUGUCCGGAAUUACUGGGCGUAAAGAGUUCGUAGGCGGUCUGAUAAGUCAGAUGUGAAAGGCGUAGGCUUAACCUAUGUAAGCAUAUGAAACUGUCAGACUUGAGGUAAGGAGAGGAAAGUGGAAUUCCUA